rnacentral:rRNA from 1 species
CCUACGGGAGGCAGCAGUGAGGAAUAUUGGUCAAUGGACGAGAGUCUGAACCAGCCAAGUCGCGUGAAGGAUGACUGCCCUAUGGGUUGUAAACUUCUUUUAUCUGGGAAUAAAAUGUUCCACGUGUGGGAUUUUGUAUGUACCAUAUGAAUAAGCAUCGGCUAACUCCGUGCCAGCAGCCGCGGUAAUACGGAGGAUCCGAGCGUUAUCCGGGUUUGUUGGGGUUAAAGGGGGCGCAGGGGGGUUGUUAAGUCAGUUGUGAAAGUUCGGGGCGCAACCGUAAGAUUGCCGUUGAAACUGGCAGUCUUGAGUAGGGGAGAGGUGGGCGGAAGGCGUGGUGUAGCGGUGAAAUGCUUAGAGAUCACGAAGAACUCCGAUUGCGAAGGCAGCUGACUGGAGUGCAACUGACGCUGAGGCACGAAAGUGUGGGUAUCGAACAGGAUUAGAUACCCCAGAAGUC